rnacentral:lncRNA from 1 species
GCAGAUUAAGGAGGGUAGAGUGACAUGGUUAAGAGAAUGUGGUUUUUUAGAUGGGAGAUCAGAGAAGACCUCUCUGGUAAGGAGACAUUUGAGUCAAAAUCUGAAGAAGGAGGGAGUGAGUCAUCUGAGUCUGUGAAGAAUUUUCUAAGCAAGGCGAGCAGCAAGCACGAAGGCUCUCAGGAAGGAGUGUGCUUGGUGAGUUCUAAGAACAAGCAGGCCAGUGUAGCUGGAAAGUAGUGAGCAGGAGACUGUGGGCAGGAGAGGACAUGAGAGAGGUGACAGAGUGGAUCACUGAGGACCCUGCAAGUGGUGUUGACGUGGGAUUUCACCAUAUUGGCCAGGCUGGUCUCGAACUCCUGACCUCGUGAUCCACUGGCUUCUGCCUCCCAAAGUGCUGGGAUUACAGGUGUGAGCCACCACACUGGCUUACCAAGGCAGACAAGUUCAUCUUCAAGAAAACUAAGAGAUCUCUUCCCCUGACAAAAAACAACUCCAUGUUUGAUGGGACUCAGACCUGGGCUCUUCUGUCACCUCUAGGUAGGGAGGUCUUGGAGAGCAAGGUGAGUUCCUAUGAAGAGUUUCACGUGAGGGAUAGAAAAGGAUGGAUGUGUCAGUUACUCUCAGGUAGCCCGGAAGAGCCUGGCAAUGUUAGAUUUUUAUGUUCAUUUUAAUUGUUUUGAUGUCUUAACCUAGUAAUAAAUUGUCAGUUAAUCACUUUUAUGCAAUAAUAAAAGGUGCAUAAAAUGUUACUGCUGCUUCCUGCUCAGGCCCCCUCCCCAGCAUGGAGUGUUAUUGAGAUACAUUUCAUUCAGAUAAGUUGGCAGUUUUAUCAGAGCAUAGAGGACACCCUGACAAUUAUCCUACAUGCUGCAGCAGACAAUAUGAAAAGCUUCUAGGUCCAAACUCCCUCUAGCUCCCUAGAGUAUAUUUUACAAAGGGUGCAGCUUUGAUGGAACUGGAGAGUUUGGUCACCAGGUUAUUUGAUUGUAGGAAAAGUCCAUAUUCUGCUCCAGGACUUAGAGACUAAGGUCAGUAAAUGGGGAGAUAAGUGAUUAACAAAUGUGAUAUUCUUGCCUGGUGGUAAAAAUAAAAAAAAUUUAAAAAAACCCAAAUGUGAUAAAAUGGGCAUUCUGUGUUAAAUCAAAGCUGCAUGGGUUUUAAAAUCAGGUUUAUGUAAUAAUAUUUUGGAAUUCUUUCCAAUUAUAGUGAGACCAGAGUGUUCAUGGAAAGUCACCAUCCACAGACAUUGGAAAAAUAGUCAUUCCCAAUUUCUGCUAUGUGAUCCCGGUAUGGCCUUGCUGAUUUGUUUGCUUUCUAAUUCCUUGGUUUAAGUAGAAAGGAGGAUCCUCUUUACAGUGUUACUGUGCAGAGUAGUAAUUGUCAACCUCGAUCUUGUAAAAAGCAAGAAUCUUUCUGAGGAUGUUGCAAACUCUCAAGAGGUUUGAAUCUAGCCUGGUAUGCCCCUCCCACCGAGCACAUGACAUCAGGAGAACCAGUUGUGAAAUUAAACAAUGAUAGGGUGAUGCAACUUCAAAGAAGUUGGAAAUUUUUGAUAUAAUACGGUUAUAAAGCUACAGGUUAUAAGAAUAAGUGACUUGAAUUUAUGGUGAGUCAUAUGACAAUCUCAGCACUUCACUUGGUGGCUGUUUCCAAAGGAGGGAGAAGGAAAAGACAGAGAAGAGAUGAGGGGCAGAGGGAGAGCUGCCUCAGUUGUGACAGUUCUACCAGACCAUAAAUUAAGCUAUUAUUAGUAUCAGCUGUUACUUAUUAUUUAACUCAGUAGUGCUGCACUGUAAUUCUACAACUCUUAACUUGGCAAACAUGUUGUAAUGGAGCCAGCUGUAUGAAAGAGUCUAUAUAAAAUUAACUUUACUAUUCUUGUUAUUAUAGUUUAGGAGUCACCCUACCAAGUGGGUAUGAUGAUGAAGGUGAGCUGCUAAGAAAGAGGUUGAGAGACAGCUGAUGUUUGUUUCAAGCAAAUCUUCUUUAACCCGAGGCACCAGGAGCAGAGGGCCAGUGGGUAAAAAGGUUAAGUAGGAUGGAAUCUACAAUAAAGCCAAAUGUGUGGGUUCUAUUGCUGAUCUUGUCGUUAUUUUGGAUUUUUGGAGUGGAG